UACGAAGGGGGCUAGCGUUGUUCGGAAUUACUGGGCGUAAAGGGCGCGUAGGCGGUGUGUCAAGUCAGGCGUGAAAGCUCCGGGCUCAACCUGGGAACCGCGCUUGAGACUGGCACGCUCGAGUUCGGGAGAGGAUGGUGGAAUUCCCAGUGUAGAGGUGAAAUUCGUAGAUAUUGGGAAGAACACCGAUGGCGAAGGCAGCCAUCUGGACCGACACUGACGCUGAGGCGCGAAAGCGUGGGGAGCAAACAGG
rnacentral:rRNA from 1 species